rnacentral:lncRNA from 1 species
CAGAAAUCAGUCCCUUGGGAAGCCUCCUGAAGAGCCAGAACGUGGACCACUGUUCCACUCUUCUUUUUGACUCCUAAGACAUAAGCCACUGAGCUGUACCAUAAUCUGCUGACCAUACCAUGUGUUGGUUGCCUGGAGCAGGGGCAAGCUUUUCUCUUUUGUUUUUAGUGGCCUCCAGGACUCUAAAGUAUGCAGGUCUUAUCAGUUCUCCAAGACAGCAAAAUGGAUUCUGCCAUAAACCAGAAUGAAUGGAUGUGGACUGUCCUCCAGAGACUUGAGAAUCGGCCAGGCUGGUGACAUACUGAUUUUACCUCAUGAGACCCUAGGCUGAGCAGAGCCAUUUUGACUUCUACCUUGCAGAAAUGUGAUAUAACAAGCAGAUGUUAUUUGAAGCCACUACAUUUGUGGUAAUUAAUUUUGAAGUAAUAGAAAAUAA